GCCUAGUUAGCGUGGAGGGUAACGUGCCCAUCUUGUAAGCGCUAGGCCGUGGGUUCGAUUCCCGCCCGGGGCG
rfam:Asian citrus Psyllid, Diaphorina citri - Florida Strain, whole genome shotgun sequence.